ACAUAUCAAUAAGCGGAGGAAAAGAAACCAACAGGGAUUGCCCUAGUAACGGCGAGUGAAGCGGCAACAGCUCAAAUUUGAAAUCUGGCGCAAGCCCGAGUUGUAAUUUGCAGAGGAUGCUUCGGCGUCGGCCCCGUUCUAAGUUCCUUGGAACAGGACGUCCUAGAGGGUGAGAACCCCGUCUUCGAUCGGGUCGCCUUCGCCAUGUGAAGCUCCUUCGACGAGUCGAGUUGUUUGGGAAUGCAGCUCUAAGCGGGAGGUAAAUUUCUUCUAAAGCUAAAUAACGGCCAGAGACCGAUAGCGCACAAGUAGAGUGAUCGAAAGAUGAAAAGCACUUUGGAAAGAGAGUUAAAAAGCACGUGAAAUUGUUAAAAGGGAAGCUCAUGCUGCCAGACUUGGCCGAGGCUCUUCGGGGCUUCGGGCAGGCCAGCAUCAGUUCGGGGGGCCUGAUAAAGGUCUCGGCAAUGUAGCUCCCCCGGGAGUGUUAUAGGCCGAGGCGUAAUGGGGCCAUCCUGGACUGAGGAUCGCGUUCGCUAGGAUGCUGGCGUAAUGGCAGUAUGCGACCCGUCUUGAAACACGGACCAAGGAGUCUAACAUCUAUGCGAGUGUUUGGGUGUAAAACCCAUGCGCGUAAUGAAAGUGAACGGAGGUGGGAACCGCAAGGUGCACCAUCGACCGAUCCUGAUGUCUUCGGAUGGAUUUGAGUAAGAGCAUAGCUGUUGGGACCCGAAAGAUGGUGAACUAUGCCUGAAUAGGGUGAAGCCAGAGGAAACUCUGGUGGAGGCUCGCAGCGGUUCUGACGUGCAAAUCGAUCGUCAAAUUUGGGUAUAGGGGCGAAAGACUAAUCGAACCAUCUAGUAGCUGGUUCCAGC
rnacentral:rRNA from 1 species